rnacentral:rRNA from 1 species
AAUGAACGCUGGCGGCGUGCUUAACACAUGCAAGUCGAACGAGAGAGUGGGAGCUUGCUCCUAUGAUCUAGUGGCAGACGGGUGAGUAACGCGUGGGCAACCUACCUCGAAGUGGGGGAUAACUUCUCGAAAGGGGAGCUAAUACCGCAUGAGUUCACGAGAACGUGAGUUUUUGUGAAGAAAGUCUGGGAUCUUCGGACCAGAUGCUUUGAGAGGGGCUCGCGUUAGAUUAGCUAGUUGGUGGGGUAAAGGCCUACCAAGGCGACGAUCUAUAGCCGGCCUGAGAGGGUGAUCGGCCACACUGGAACUGAGACACGGUCCAG